UACGAAGGGGGCUAGCGUUGCUCGGAAUUACUGGGCGUAAAGCGCACGUAGGCGGCUUUCUAAGUCGGGGGUGAAAUCCUGGAGCUCAACUCCAGAACUGCCUUCGAUACUGGAAAGCUCGAGUCCGGGAGAGGUGAGUGGAACUGCGAGUGUAGAGGUGAAAUUCGUAGAAUAUUCGCAAGAACACCAGUGGCGAAAGGCGGCUCACUGGCCCGGUACUGACGCUGAGGUGCGAAAGCGUGGGGAGCGAACAGG
rnacentral:rRNA from 1 species